AUCAAGUUAAAGCUUAAUAGAAAGCCUUUCAUUUACACUGAAAAAAUUACUGUGCAAUUCAGUGUAACUUGAU
rnacentral:tRNA from 1 species